rnacentral:lncRNA from 1 species
UGUGUUUCCCUGUCUACUGCGCGUGUGUUUUGGAGCUCCCGGCGUAGCCAUGGCUGAGGUACUGGCCACCAUGGUGGUCGGGCCACUGGUGUCCAUGGUGAAGGAGAAGGCCUCCAGCUACCUCCUGGACCAGUACCAGGUGAUGGAGGGCAUGGAGGAGCAGCACAAGCUCCUGAAGCGCAAGCUGCCGGCCAUCCUCGAUGUCAUCGCCGAUGCCGAGCAGCAGGCGGCGAAACACAGAGAAGGGGCCAAAGCUUGGCUGGAGGAGGUCCGGACGGUGGCCUACAAGGCGAAUGAUGUCCUCGACGAGUUCAAGUACGAGGCGCUUCGCCGCAAAGCCAAGGUGGAGGGCCACUACAAGGCGCUCGGCAUGGAUGUAAUAAAGCUCUUCCCUUCUCACAACCGUGUUGUGUUCCGUUAUAAGAUGGCAAAAAGGCUCUGCAUGAUCUUGCAAGAAAUUGAUGUCCUCAUCGCAGAGAUGAAUGCGUUCAGGUUCAAAUUCAAACCGCAGCCGCAAAUGCCCAUGCAAUGGAGGCAGACGGAUGCUUGCAUCCCCACUGAGUCUGUGGAGAUUGCCAGCAAAUCAAGAGCUCAAGAGACGAAGGUUCUUGUUGAUCGAUUGCUUGCUGGAGCCAGCAGUAAGGAUCUCAUGGUCCUUCCGAUAGUCGGAAUGGGGGGGUUGGGCAAGACCACCUUAGCACAGCUCGUUUACAAUGACCCUGAAAUUCAGAAGCAUUUCGAGUUGCGGCUCUGGGUGUGUGUCUCUGAGGAUUUUGAUGUGGAUUCCCUGGCUAACAGAAUAGUGAAAGAGAAUGGUUGUAAAGCAAGUGAAAGUUCAUCAGCACUGGACAAUCUUCAAAAGGCAGUGAGUGGGAAGAGGUACCUCCUCGUAUUGGAUGAUGUGUGGAACCGUGAUGAGCCCAGCAAGUGGGAAAGGCUCAAGUCCUACCUUCAGCAUGGUGGCAGCGGUAGCUCAGUGCUGACAACAACUCGCGAUGAAGCUGUUGCUAAACUAAUGAUGGGUACAACUGAAAGAGCCUAUAAACUUGGAAGCUUGGAUGAAGAGUCCAUAGGGAAAAUUAUCAAGGCAAGAGCAUUCGGUUCAAAACAAGAAAAGGAAUGGCCUGGUGAGCUAGUUCACAUGGUUGGUGAAGUUGCCAAGAGAUGUGCUGGUUCUCCUUUAGCUGCUACAGCAUUGGGCUCUUUACUGAGUACCAAGACCAGCAAGCAAGAAUGGAAGGAUGUACUAAAUGGAAGCACGAUUUGUGAUGAGGAAAAUGGGAUUUUACCAGUACUUAAACUAAGUUACAAUUGCUUGCCAUCAUACAUGCGGCAAUGCUUUGCUUUCUGUGCUAUGUUUCCCAAGGAUUAUGAGAUUGACGUGCAAAUGCUAAUCCACUUGUGGAUGACCAAUGGUUUUAUCCCAGAGCAAUCAAAAGUGUGUCCUGAAACUUUUGGAAAAGGAAUUUUCAUUGAGCUGAAGUCAAGGUCAUUUUUUCAGGAUUUGAAGAAUGUCCCAUUUUACGAAAAUGGAUAUUCUAUUCAUGGAGAGGGUGAUGAGCACAGGUAUUGUUCUAGAAUUACUUGUAAGAUCCAUGACCUUAUGCAUGAUGUUGCACAGUCUGCUAUGGGAGAAGAAUGUGCUGCAAUAGCUACACACCCAAGUGAAAGAGAGGAUGUUCUUCGUUCAGCUCGUCACUUGUAUUUGUCAAUCCGUCGAUCAGAAACUCUUCUGAGUGCUUCCCAAGAGAAAGGAUCUCCAGCUUUCCAAACACUGAUUUGUGACGGAUAUGUAGGAGAUUUGAAGAUUUUAUCAAAAUACAAUUCUAUAAGAGCUUUAAAGAUCCGUUGUGGUUCAAUCCUAAGGCCGAAAUAUCUUCAUCACCUGAGGUAUCUUGAUCUCUCGAGAAGUGAUAUUGAAGCACUUCCUGAAGACAUUAGCAUCCUAUAUCAUCUGCAAACACUGAACCUUUCUUACUGUGACUGGCUUGAACGGCUUCCAAAGCAACUGAAGUAUUUGACUGGCCUCCGUCACCUCUACACUCACGGAUGUGAAAAGUUGAAAAGCAUGCCUGCAGAGCUCGGACGCCUGACUUCCCUACAGGCGCUUACAUACUUUGUAGCAGGUACCGAUGACUCCGGUUGCAGUAAUUUGGGAGAGCUGCAGAAUUUGGACCUUGGUGGUACACUGGAGCUAGGAAAUCUAAAAAAUGUGACAGGAGCAGAUGCACAAGCAGCAGGUCUUGGAAACAAGAAAAAACUGACCCAACUGGAGUUAUGUUGGACUGAUAGUGACCAGGAAGCACAGAAUAAUAAUCAUAAAGAGGUGGUGGAAGGUCUCAAACCUCAUGAUGGGUUAAAGGCUCUGAGGAUAAAUCACUACGGGAGCACAACUUUUCCAACGUGGAUGAAUACUUUGAAAGGCAUGGUGGAGCUCACAUUAUUCCGUUGCAAAAAGCUCGAAGAGCUUCCUGCACUCUGGGAGCUAUCAGCUCUGCAAAUUCUUCACCUGAAGGGUUUGGAGAGUUUACAUUGUUUGUGCAGCGGUGGUACUACACCCAUCACAUUUCCAAAACUGAAUGUACUUAUCUUGUUAGAAAUGGCAAAAUUUGAGGCAUGGCGGGAGGCACAUGAGGUACAAGGAGAAGAGCCGAUAUUUCCCAAGGUUGAGGAGCUGGUGAUUAAGGAGUGUACAAGUUUGACUGCAUUACCAAAAGCAGCGUCGGUGAUUACAGAAUUGUCUGGCAGAGUUGACACUAAGUGCCGCUCUGCAUUUCCAGCAUUGAGGAAAAUGAAGCUAUAUAAGUUGACUGUGUUUGAAAGAUGGGAGGCAGGCGAAGGAAUUUCAGGCGAAGAGGUAACCUUUCCUCAGCUUGAGGAGCUGUCAAUCGAGUAUUGUGGCAGCCUGAGUGCACUACCAAAAGGGCCAUUUGGCGGAGCUGAAACUGUGUGUUGCUGCUCCGCAUUUCCAGCACUGAGGAAACUAGAGUUAUCUGGUUUGUUGGCCCUUGAGAGGUGGGGGGCAGCCGAAGGAACUCCAGGAGAAGAGGUAACAUUUCCUCUGCUGGAGAACUUGAGUAUCCAUGAUUGCCCGAGGUUGACUGAUCUACCUGAAGCACCGAAGCUAAGUGAAUUAUCCAUAAGUAAAGGACAUGGUCAACAACAAAUAUCCCUAGAGGCAGCUAGCAGAUGCAUCCCUUCAUUGUCCCGUCUGACUCUGACCGUGUCACCCGAUGACACAGAAACAACAUUGCUGCAUGUCAAGAAUAAAUUGAAUGGUACACUCGCCUUGGCAGCUAUGCGGUUAGGUCGGUGCGACAUUUUUUUCUCCUCCAGCUCAAGCGCACUGGCGCUAUGGACAUGUUUUGCACAGUUAGUAGAUUUGGAUAUUUGGGAUUGCGAUGCUCUUGUCUACUGGCCAGAAAACGUGUUCCAGGUCCUGGUAUGCCUGAGGAAGUUAGCGAUUUCCAGAUGCAGCAAACUGACAGGACGCACACAAGCUUCUGAUGAGCAAUCUGCUCCAGCUCCAGAACGUGGUGGACUCCUGCCAUGCCUGGAGUCUCUAGGGAUAGUAGAUUGUGAAUCUUUGGUAGAGGUCCCCAUCCCGGCAUCUCUCAAGAAAUUACGUAUUUGGGGCUGCAGUAGUAAUGUCGGGUCCAUCGUAUUUGGUCACCCGGAGGAUACGAGAUUGGUGAGUGGAGAAGGUGUUGUACGGCCGAAUACGUCAUCAUUAAUUCCAGGGUCCAGCAGCAGUGAGGCCACAGCGUCUACAGCUGUACUGAAGCUGUCAUCUGCAGCCAACCAUCGCUUCCUUCCAUUUCAAUGCCUAGAAUUUCUAGGUAUAGCGUGUUGCAGUGGCUUGUCAGAGGUUGCCAAUCUUCCUCCGUCUAUCAAGACCUUGCGCAUUUGUGGCUGCGGCAAGUUUCAAUCCCUAUCAGGAGACCUCCGGUUGCUGGAAGAACUCAAGCUUUAUCAUUGCGAAAGACUGGUAUCCUUACCGGAUGGGCCUCAAGCAUACUCAUCUCUUAGAGUUCUUCGGAUUGAAAAUUGUGAUGGUAUAAAGUUGCUUCCGCCAAGCCUACAGAGCCGUUUGGGCUACCUCGAGGAGAAAGAUCUAGAUGCCCGUUACGAAGGUAAUCUCCAGUUUCUUUGUUUCUUUUAACAAAAUGAUCAAGAGCUCAAUUGUUGUUACCUAAAAUGCAACUCUGUGCUUAAACAUUCUGUUAGCUAUUACAAGAUGUGGUAGGAUUUAGUGGUAAGAAGUUUAUGAGUAUUACUCUGUGUUAAACAUUCUGUUAGCUAUCUAGCCAAGCCGUUCAUGAUGUAUACAUUAUAUUGACUAUUGAGUACAAUGCACCACUAAUAUUUAUGUGCAUGUGUGUCAUCGAAAUACAUUAACUUCGUGUAUUAUUGCCAUUCGGGGUAUCUAAACACGUACAACCAGAUCAAGAACCGCAGUCAUCCUUGUAUUUAUAGCUAUAAGAUGAUCUUUGUUGUUCACUUUUGAUACCUUGGUUGUAAACUUGUAAUUGCUAACUCGAAUCAUGUAAUAAAAUCAAUCAUCUUCCUUUAGUUGUAUUUAAAGCAGCAUGGCAUCAUGGAAUUAUUGCAGCCGAAUUCACUAGCUCCAAUUAAAGUGGCACUUGUCCUAGCGUUUCUCUGCAAAUUCACUAGCUCCAUUGCAUACAGUUCAAGUAUGUGUAGUUUUCUUUUCAUGGCUUAUGCCUUUUGACAUAAAUAAUAAUUUUCCUUUCCUUUGAAACAUUUACUAUUGGGUACCACAGCAUAUUCUCCUGUGUAUAUAUAUACUUUCUAACUUUGUGUUGAUUUGCAUGCAUAAAUUCUAACAUCAUCUGUGAUCAUGGCUAUAAGAUGAUCUUUGUUGUUCACUUUUGAUACCUUGGUUGUAAACUUGUAAUUGCUAACUCGAAUCAUGUAAUAAAAUCAAUCAUCUUCCUUUAGUUGUAUUUAAAGCAGCAUGGCAUCAUGGAAUUAUUGCAGCCGAAUUCACUAGCUUCAAUUAAAGUGGCACUUGUCCUAGCGUUCCUCUGGAAAUUCAUGAUCACUAGCUCCGUUGUAUGCAGUUCAAGUAUGUGUAGUUUUCUUUUCAUGGCUUAUGCCUUUUGACAUAAAUAAUAAUUUUCCUUUGAAACAUUUACUAUUGGGUGCCACAGCAUAUUCUCCUGUGUAUAUAUAUACUUUCUAACUUUGUGUUGAUUUGCAUGCAUAAAUUCUAACAUCAUGGCCUGAUUGCCAGAAUUGCCAGAACCAACCUGGAAACGUUCAAUCAGGAAGCUGGUGUGCUCGAAAUAGUAGAUCAAGGCCUGACCAAAGAAAAUUAUCUCCAAGGUAUUUUUGCAAAGAUAUCACCAAGGUUUGUAAUAUUAGUGUUCUUGAUGAUUGAUUGGAAAUGAUGCUAGCUCCUAAUGCUGACUUCCUAUGCGCUGUGACUUCCUUGUAGGAUGGUGCCAGACCUGCAAAAGAUGGAUUAUUGUGACUCUUGUUUAGAAUGUAUCAUAUGGGCAUUCUGAAGAUAUUCUCCAGUAAAGUCAAGGCAAAGUUCUAGAUUUUGAGCAGAAAACAAGUCCUAGAUUGCAAGCUGAAGAAUUUAGCACACAGAGCUGCGUGCUCCAGUCUUUUAUCCUUCUUCAAACCGAAGACCUUUAUUUUGAGCAGAAACGAAGUCCCAGACUGCAAGCAGAAGAAUUUAGCAUACAGAGCUGCGGGCUCCAGUCUUUUAUCCUUUUUUUUUUCUUUUGAGCCAUGACUUGUUUGCAUUCGUGUCUGCUUCAGCCUCCAGCACAAGCGAAACACAGGCAGCACUUUCAUUUUAUGAUUUGUCUAUCCACAUACAUGACCGACUGCCAUAGAGUAGACCAACAGUCCAACGUACUCAUGUUGUUGCUCGACAAGCUGUCCAAGCUGCUGCUUGAUAUGAACUGAAAGUGCUGAACUUUGUCCAUGUUAUGUUGGUAGUAUAUCUAAUACUGAACUUCAGAGUAGAACAACAGUCCAACGUGCUCAUGUUGUUGCUCGACAAGCAGUCCAAGCUGCUGCUUGAUAUGAACUGAAAGUGCUGAAUUUUCUCCCGUGUAUGUUCUGUGUUACUGUGUAUCAAAUACUGAAUGGUGUGCAGGGUGAUCCUGCAUCCUGGAAUGGCACGGUCUUGUGCAGAGGUCUCAUUGUUGUUGACCUGUUUCUUCAAAACUGCAUGUGCAGCAACAUUUUCUCCUGGCAGUGCUGCAAUGGAAUUGAAAAGAAUGGUGAUUGUUAUAGUAUAAUUGUCAUAUAUAGGCUGGGACACAAAACAAUGGAUGUACAUGAGCAAGGAAGAAGCUCUGGAUGCAGGGGAUGGAACAGAACAGAGACACGGACUCUGUCAACAGCGAUGCUCCCCAAGCGAGCAGAGGCAGAGCAGCGAAGCCCGCCUCGCAAUCUCCGCUACCCCCAUCGAAGUUGCCACACGCCACCGCAUCUCCCUCCACUCCGCUCCCACUCCCCCGCCACCGCCAUGGCCGCCGCCGCCGCAGCGCCCUCCCUCCUGCACCCACCGGCGGCCCGCAAGGCCCCCACACCUUCUCCCUCUCCUUACCCUUCCCCAUUCCUCCGCCUCCCGGCCCCCGCGCACCCGCGCCUCCCGCUCCGCCUCCGCUCCACCUCCCCGGCCGCCGCCUCCGACCUCACCGACUUCCCCAACCCGAACGGCAUCCUCGCGCCCAUCGACGUGGACGCCGCCACGGAGGCGGAGCUUCGCGAGAACGGGUUCCGGAGCACGCGCCGCACCAAGCUCGUCUGCACCGUGGGCCCGGUCACCUCGUCGCCCGAGCAGCUCGAGGCGCUCGCCGUCGGCGGGAUGAACGUCGCCCGCCUAAACAUGUGCCACGGGGACCGGGAGUGGCACCGGGGCGCCAUCCGGGCAGUCAGGAGGCUAAACGAGGAGAAGGGCUACGCCGUCGCCGUCAUGAUGGACACCGAGGGCAGCGAGAUCCACAUGGGGGACCUCGGCGGCGCCUCAUCGGCCAAGGCGGAGGUGAGGUGCUGUGCUUGUAUGUAAGCUGCUGUCCAGUUUUGGACUUGGCGUUGCAGUUUUCAGUUUUCAGAUUGAACGUAUUCCGUGAAAUGUGCUUGUGCAAUGUGGCAAUGUGGAUGAGAGGGGUGGUGGCAGUGGCAGUGUCAGGCAUUGCCGUUUCAUACUUCUGCAAAACCUAGCGAGUCAGGAUUUCACCAAAAUGUUUUUUUUCCAUCUUCGAAAUGGCUCAGUUGAUUUAGAUUUUCAGCUCAUGUUUGAAAUUGUUAUAGAAGGAAAAACAUUCAGAAUUUCAGAUUGUCAUCAAACACUGGAUUGUGAAAGUGGUAAUCAUUUUCAAGGCUUUCAAUCUUUCAAAAAAAUUUCAAGGCUUUCAGUAUCAGUGCAACUCAAAUAAAGUGCAUGGUAAACAUCACCAUGUUUUGGCUUUCUCUGCAUAUAAGACACGGUGCUGGAGUGGUUCGACGGCGCUGAGGUCCCAAUCCAACCAGUCAGGUUUUUUCAAGGUGUCGAGUUUGAGUGCUUACCUGCGUUGGCCCCAUUCCAACCGGGCGAGUCUUUAUUUAUUUUUCGUUUCUUUUCUUUUUUUGCCUAUGGCCUCCCAGGACCGUAGUCUUGUAUUUUCUAUUAUAUCAAUAGAAACUCGCACUAUCUUGUGCGGUUCGUUCAAAAAAAAGUGAUAGGCAUUGAGCUUCUGAAGGUCGUUGUCUAGAUAUUAGGCCCAAGCCUCAAUGGCUUUUUUUUCCCUGUUGCAAACCUUCCUGUAAGUAAAGGGCACACCAGUGCGAAAGCUCCCACACAAGGUGGGGUCUGGGGAAGGGAAUUCCUAGAUAGCCUUACCCUUGCAAAAUUCUUUUAAAUUUUUGCAAAGAGGUUGGUUCGAACCCAGGACCUCCGGGCCACAAGUGGAGAGUUUUACCACUGUGCCAGGUCCGCCCUUCUAGCAGAAUCUCUUAUGCUAGGUUUAAUUUGAAUUAGCUUUAUUAGUAGAAUGCUUGGCCCAUUUAUUGGUAAAUGGUAAAAUUCAUAAAGAUUAUCCUCAUUCCCUUAAUCAAUUUUAGGUGUUUAACUUGCAGCAAAUUCGAACAAUGACAGACAUGCAGCAUAUUGUUAGUUCAUCUGUAAGACUUGGCUUGCUGGUUUAAUGCUUUGUUAAAGGUUUGAAGUUAAUGUGUCUACUGGUAGCUAUUGAAUCUCUUUAUAGUUUAUUUAUAUCUUUUUUCUUUAUUAGUAUAAAGCCAUGUAGAAGUUUUCAGAAUACUGAAAUUUCUAGUGUUCGUUUUGUGGAGUCUCUGCACCUACAUCCUUUUUUGCAACUGCAUUUCAGAUCCUUCAGUUAUAGCAUGAAUAAUUUUUUAAAAAAGAAAAUUCUAGGUAGAUUCUUGCCCGUAGUUAAUGGUAGUGUCCGAUGAUAGUUGUGUUUUAGAUAAUACAUUAAUAUUAGUAAUCCAAAGAAACUAAACUACUUCCAUGAUGCUAAAUGUCAUCAGUGCUAGCUAGGGUCACUAUACCAAAAAGGAGAUUCUAUCACCAUUCGGCUGUUUAUCUUAAGUUUUUAACCAUACAGUUAGAAGUUUGAUUGUACACCUAUUCAAUAAUCCAAGGUUUUCUUGAGCCACGUUAUUUACCCAAUGACUUCCAUUUUUCUUGGCAUUAAAACCUUUCUGAAGUAAUUAACAAAUCAUGUCACAUUUGUUGGAUUCCACAGGAUGGAGAAGUCUGGACAUUUAGUGUUAGGUCAUUUGAAUUGCCUCUCCCAGAACGAACUAUUAAUGUGAAUUAUGACGGGUUUGCUGAAGGUAUGUAAGCUGACCUAUUUGUUGAUAUCUUUUGCUGUUAUUGUUCACUGCCAUAAUUUUGUCCUACACAGAUGUGAGAGUUGGUGAUGAGCUUCUUGUGGAUGGUGGAAUGGCUCGGUUUGAGGUGAUUGAGAAGUUGGGACCAGAUGUUAAGUGUCGCUGCACAGAUCCUGGUUUAUUGUUGCCACGUGUGAAUCUUACAUUCUGGCGUGAUGGCAGUAUUGUCCGUGAGAGGAAUGCUAUGCUUCCUACAAUUUCAUCAAAGGUAAAUGCACUAGCAUAAUAAAUUUCUUGCUGUAAUUACCAAAAGACCGCAAAACUUUGUUAAUCUAUGCCACCCCUUGGUACUAGUAUUGCAAUGGAUUUACAGCUUGGUUUUUUUUGUCAAUGCCAUGGUCAGUUCAAAACAACAUGUAUUAGUUCAAAGCCUUACAUUGUGCACUGAAACUCAUCUCUUGAUAGUUUUUAUCAGCUAUUUCUUAAGAAGGCUUCUACCACCUAGAGUUGUUUAACUGAAAAUUUAAUCUUCUAGUAGCAGAUACUAAUAUUAUAAGUUUAUAAUAAUGCUGCUCCUACCCCCGACGCAGCUUGCCGGAGGCCCUUGACGCAGCGCUGCCAUCCGCAAGCCCUAACGCCGCCGACGCGCCCCUCUCCUCGGUUGAUUUGGGAAGGCGCGGGACUGAGGCAGGGAGAUUGGGAAGCAGAGCUUCCUGUUCCUCGUCUGCUACUCUGCUUCAAUUGGGCACCGGGAAAAGCGAUGCUGCCGGGUGCUCGGGUUCUUGGAGAGGGGAUGGAAUGGAAUGAUGGAUCGAUGCGGGAUGCGUUGCUGUUGCUAGCGGCUUCUGAUUGGAGAGAGGAGAGAAGCUGGUUGCUUGUGUUACCGUGAACGUGAAGGAAAACAGAGUAGGGAGGAGAGCAAGCUGCUGGUGCAGGAGCAUCAUGGCUACGGCAAUGGCAGCGGUGCGGUUCGUUCCGUCAAAUCCCAGAUUUCGGCCACAUUUGAUUGAUGCGAUUUAAUUUGAUUCCUUAUUGGUCGCCAGCCACGCAUUCGAUUCAUGGACGCGCAGGCCCCGGUGGUGAUGCAAGCCACGGUGGUUCCUGCAUGACAAUAGGUUCUUGUUACAAGACAGUCAUCAGUCAUAUUGUGAAGAACUGAUGGCAGUUUUGAACACAAAUAUAGGAUUUCAUCACGAUACACUAGAGGUUUACAAUCAUCAACUACUGCAGGGGAAAAAAAUGGAGCUAGUAUUUUUGAAAAAUGGCCCGAUGUUGAAUCUGUGAUAAUGCAACUUAUGUAGCAGAGCAACCAUGGUAACACAAAAAUGUGCCAAGAGACUGACCUGAUCUUCUUCAGCCUCUCUCCAGGUCAUCCCCGAGCUUCAUGUCAAGAGCGUUGGAAACAACCUGGGAGAACCUACAUCCUUGUAAUCCUUCUUCAUGAUGAGGAAUCAGUCAGGGACCAUGAACUGGCGAGGGUUAGGAACCACAUUCUUGAGGCGCUCAAGCUCAUCUGGGGACACCUCACGAGCUCUGCACAAAAAUAUUAUCAUCAGAGCUAAACUUCAUGCAAUGGGGCAUUCUAGCUGUAGCAUACAACAACCUACUGGCCCAGUUUGUUAUUGCGGCACAUGGAAAAUUAGUGGGAAAGUGGUGCGAUGCACCCAUCUCAAAUCUCCAACUUCAAAAAACAUGAAUGCCAAAGACUUCUGCAUAGGCUGUCUUUAGAUGGCAGAUGUUUUUUAAAACACGUUUUCCAAUGGGCUUCACUCUCAAGUAGAUUCAGAAAAGCUAAUUGAUGAUCGGCACCAAGCCACAGAUGACUGCCACUAAUGAACAGUCAGUAGAUAAUUUCUGCAUUGUUGCCUAGAUUUCACCUGAGGAAAACCAAACUGAUUGAACAUCUCGCCACAAUUUCUUAGAUUAACUGAGCCCAUCACCUACGGGAAUGGAAGGAAAAAAAACCGAAAACUGUUACCAACAUUACAAUUUGUCAAAUAAUCUUCAUAUUCGAAUUCCCUAUACAAAAAUACCGCUUUGCCAGACUGGACCAGAAAGCAAACCAAACCUAAAUUCAGUAUAUUUAUACAUGUUGAAUCAUCUCUUGGUCACGUUUUCUUCAUUGAAAAGAAGUAAUGAGAAGAAACAUUCUUCAAAAAUUACUGAUCAAAACCAUAUUUUUAGUGUGCUACGAUUCUACAGCGACUUCAGUACAAUGGAAGCAUUGGUGCUACAACGAGCUUCUGAUAAAGUUAGGAGUGAUUUUAAUCCACUUUUCAACUUGGAAACCAAGUUGAAAACAAGUCUUCCUUUUUGUUAAUGUGUUGCCGUGAGAACAUAGAGUAUGAGCAGUUCAAACCGGUUACCUAAAUUAUGCUUGUGAUCCGUGCACUGUGAUGGUCAAACUUCUCCUUGUUAAAUGGCAAGCUGCUGUUGCCUUGGAUCCUAAGGUCGUGCUGUGAAUGGUAUUGUAACUGUUAAGGUAAAUCCUGUUCUCCAUUUGUGGCCAUGCAUGAGAAUUGAGAACUGGAGAUCAUUCUGAAUUUUUGCUCCUUACAGAUUGCUUUGUGUAUCCCUUGUGCGCCAAAUGGGACUGAAAUUCGUGGCGUGAUACGUCAUCGUGACCUUUUGAAUUUUAGUUGGCUUUGUUUUUGUUUUCGAGGAUUUAACUGUUGUGCCUCCGUCUUCCAUGUGGCGAAGAAAUUGACGCAGUGGGGUCGGGAUGGUGUUCAGCUGCUGUUUGCUGGUAGACUGUUUAUUUUGUUUGGGAGUAUAAAGGGGUGGAUCAUCCAUCAUAUCUAAGCAAUAUGAUUAGUGCAAAUCAUGAUGGUCAACGUCAGGUUUCGUUUUGGGCAACCAACCACAGGGUUUCUUUGAUGGUUUCGUAUUCAUUGUAAUCGCUGUCGUUGCUUGCUUCUUGCUGCCCACAUUCCUAUUCUCCCGUCGGCUCGACGGAGGAUUUUAUUUUAAGAAUGCAGAGAAAGAAACAUGCCUCCGUUUUCCAAGCAAAGCAUAUAUUCUUUCUGGAAGGUCAACGACAAGGCCCCGGCCGUUCCAAGCUUCUCGCUGGCCUAGCCGUCGCGUCCAUUCAAGCUCAGAGGCGACUGCCGUUCCGAGCUCUCCAAGGGCCCGCGCGAUGGGAAGCGGCGCGGUUCUUGACGGUGGUGUUGUUCCUCGCCGCGGGGGUCCUCUUCGCGCCCGAAUCGCUGGCGCCUCGGCGGCCACCGCAUGGGGCACCGGCCUCUGGGUCGCAUUCAUCGGCGGCACCAUCCUGUUCAGGUAAGCAAGCGCCGCCGCUGCCGCUUCGUCCGCCCCAAGAUCAGAUGGUUGGAAACAAGCGAGAGAUGGAUUCUGUCAUGUUUACUAAUAUACCAUUAUACCCAAGCCUAAAUGUGAUAUGCUGCUGCUGUCAUAGCAUUCACAUUCAAAUCCAAUUUCGUGCGCAGCAAUGCACGGCGCCCAUCCUAGGAAGAACUCUGAGGAAAAUGACAAGCCUCAUGAAUCUGUCCUUGGAAUCAUGCGAGUUUUAGUAAAUCAUUGGAAUCCACUGGAUCAUCAUCUUAAUCUGGCAACCAUUGGUCCGGAAAAAUCAUUCUAGUAAAUAUUCACCUUGACGAUCUGUUGGAAGGACAAGGACCACAAAAAUUAUGAAUUGGGAUUUAUGUGCUGUAUUGAGAGAGCCCGUAGGUGCUGGAUUUCUCUGGAAACGUUCUGAAAGUUCUGGUAGUGGUAGCACUGCUACAAUUUUACAAGCAUGUGGGGUUGUUCCUCUGUUUGUUGAUUAGGUAUUAUGUUUUGCAGUCUUAAAGUUCAGAAGGUAAUUACCCAGGUGUGCAAGUAUACCUUCAAGUUUUUUUUUAACAUAGUGUACAUAUUACCUUGUUAUAGUGAGAACAGAGAAGUCCACCGCAAAAGUAUAGCCUAGCAUAUAUUGUUCUUGCAAUAGACCAUGUGUGGAUAUGCCCCUUUGCAGGUCGAUUAUUCCAUUCAGAACAUAGCAUGGACCUCUAUAGUGUUUUGGAUAGAUUUUUUUUUAUUAUAAAGGUACUUGCCGAGGCACCAAUUUGGGAGUCUGCGGGGUAAAAUGUUCCCGGCGUAGUUCAUAUUGACAUCAGUGUGUUCAGCGAUAUCUGUGGCAGCAUUCGUAUACCUGCACCCCUGGAAGACAGCAUCAACCAUCGAGCGUUACCAGCAUGGAUUCCUUCUUUCGGCCCUUAUCUGUAACCUUUCAAACCUUCUGGUCAUCACACCCGAUCCUUACCUGCGCUGCCGCCGCACCGCCACCUCUCCCUCCCUGCGUCGCCGCCGCGCCGCCACCACUCCCUCCCUGCGUCACCGCCGGGACCCCGACGACCCCUCCCACCACUCCCUGCAACUGAAGAGGUAAUCCGACAGCGCCCCCUCCGGGCGCCGCCACGCCGACCCGCCUCCGGGUGCCCAAUUGAUACGCCCGGACCGCUCCUCCUCCGUCCGCUGCCCAACCGUGCCUCCUCCGGGCGCCCAACGCCGGCGCACCCCCUGUCCGGUUGCCCCUCCGCGCCAGCGCCCCCCUUCCCGGCCUUCUCUCCACCCCUCCCCCGGCCUCCCCUCCACGCCGGCGCGCUGGUAGACGGACGCCUCUGGCUACUUCUGUGCCGGCCGCGCCGCCGCCAAGCUCGCCCCUACGAAAACGGUAACCUCUUCCGCCCAUCUGCACAUCUCCAUGACAAUCCGUUUUUAUGCAUCCUUAUUGAGGCGGAUCUGGUGGUUCGAUUGCAUAGAGGAGGAUAAUGAUUAGUGGAUUUGCUUGAUUGGCAACAUAGUCCAUCAUUUAUUCUCCUGUUCUCCAUUAUCAGUAUUGUGAAAUUGCUUGACAGAUGGCUGGUCACUUGUUUUUUUUUAGUGAUUCCAAUGGUAAUCAUAUCAUACCAGACCUAGAUAGAAUAUAAUAUGAGAUGAUGUUGCAGACUGAGUCAUCUGAUUCUUGCAGUCUAAUUCUAGGAGUUUUAGGCAGUGGCAUGUGAAUAUUAUCAAUACUUCUGCUUCAGUUAACAUAUGCAACUUAUGGGCACUCACAUAGCAGGUUAUUUUUCUGUUGUUUUAACUAACAUGGCAUGACGUGAUGUUUUUGACUGUUUAACUAAUAGAAUCUUUAAGCUUUGAUUGGUACACUCAAACUUCAUUAUUGAGAUUGGUCGACUGUCAGUAUUGUGAAAUUGCUCAACAGAUGGGAUAUUGCUUGCAUUAAAAGAUUAGCUUCAGGAUAUUGCUUCGAUUGUAGAGGAUGAUAAAAGUAUUGAUUUUUCUUUCCUUGUUUUUUAGUCAUUCGUGCUUACUCUCUAGCAAUGGUUAAUUACAACACUGCAGGACUACUAGCUAGCGUAUUUAUCUAGGUUCUGAUAUAAAGCAUAUAACAUUGGAUCUGGGAUAAUAUGUUGGCUAUUUUGUGGCUGGCCCGGAAGCCCAGUGGUUGCUUUGCUUUGCUACCUGCUUUUGCAACUCUCUUCUUUUCUGAGCUCAUUCUUACACUUUAGCCUGCAGUCGAGUAUGUGUGUUAGCUAUUGAGCUGUUUUGCUUUGCUUAAUCAAAUGCUAUAUUACACCAUGUUUUCAAAUUUGUUCCCAUAGUUAUUUAGCUUAACCUCUAUCUCUGAAAUCAGGUACUUGAUAGGAUGAACUGUAGGGGUCUGAGGUCUUUUUUUAAUGAAGCAACAGGGGAGGACCCUACUGACAAAUUUCAGAGGAUAUAUAUCUGUACAGGUUGCAUGGCCAUGUAGUUCCAAAAGAAAAAAAAGGAGGAGAUUUAGAUCCCUCUCCACGAAAUAUUUUCAUGGUUGUCCAUAAAUAUUUGUUUUCUGUGCAUUAAGCUUUUCUGUUGUGCUAAUCUGAUUCAAGGAACCCAGAAUUGCAACUAUCUUAAAUUUUCUUUUUAUAUUCCAUUUUAUAUCAAUUCCAGGUACAUGCAUGAUUGGUAUGGCCAGGUUGAAUGCAAAUAUGUGGCAACACUGAAGUAGAACAAUCAUUAUGAAGCAUGUCAAGUAAGCAUGUUCUAACUUUUGGAAUGUAGCUUCAUGAAUUUGAUUCUUUGAUAUACUAUACAAGGUUGUAUUUGUUUGAUCUGUCACUUAAUUUGACAUUGGAGUUGUCCGGCCAACAAAUCCACAUGUGCCUCCGCCACAUGGACGCCCCCAAGGCCCGUACGUGAUCCCCAGGUCCCUUCCCUUCUGUUUGGUUGCAAACACUGACAGAGAACCAUUUGCAACUGAGCUCAUGACUAACUUAAUGUACCGUUGCUGCUUGCAGGUCACAGCUCAGAUGAGGCAAAGCGGAUAGCUUGAUUACUGGAUGCAGGAUUAGCAUCCACCAUGAGCCUGUGCACCUGGUCCAUCGUAAUUCUUUGAAUUUACUCUAUUGAAUGCAGGGUGUUCCUGAAAUUGCAAGAAUUAUGGCACCAGAUUGGUCGUCGAUGGACAGAAGGCAAUGCUGUGCUGCCAAUUAAGUUGCCUGGUGAUGUUUCUAACAUGCAUUCUGUACUAUCUGACAUUUUAGAUUUCAGGCUGCUAUCGUAUCUGGUUUGUGACUGUAUUUUCUACCAAUCAAGUUGCCAUCAAACUUAAAUAUUGAAGCCUCUGGUGGAUAUGAUGAUGAAUUGACUGUAGACUGUUGGCCCUUGGGCAUUGCAAAGAGAAGGAAAUAUCUGUUAAGAUAGCCAAAACCAUCAAGUUAGUCCAGAUCAUGCGCUACAAAAUUUCACUUCUUUUAUGAACUGCUGUAGUGUGUAAUAUAAAUAAUGCCAUCAAGUUAAUAUGUAUGUGCAAAAAAUCCCCUGACAGGAAAUUAUUAGGAAUUUAUAUUAGAAACAGGAAACAUGAAUGCUGAAGCAUGUUAGAACUGACAAAACACAAUCAGACAUAGGCAGGUUCUUGGGACUGCAUGAAGAGAGACUCAGAUUCCUAAGGAUUGUUCAAGUGCAUUCGAUGUGAUUUGCCGACGAAUGGAACAGAGGAUGGCCUAUGGCCAGAAUGAGCAGGUGAGGCUCCAUACUAUCUUACCGUAUGUCUUCCUCAUGUCUCAUGUGUUGCAUUGCAUGUAACUGUUAAAGUAUCUGUGCUACAGAUCUCACUUUAUUAAAUCAUGUGAGAUUAAACUUACAUUUAUAUUGUCAUUAAUAGAAAUCAACAGAAAAGAGGUACUGAUUGGAUUACUAAUUCAUUAUUUGUAGUUGCCUUAGUCAAGAAUAUAAAUUUGUCAGGGACAACUCAAAUACAGAAACACACUCAUGAUCCUUUGUAGUUUGCAGUAGAUUGCGAGUUUAAUGGUAAAUCUGGACUUGAACUUCUUUUCAGACUCUGUUCUACCACCGAAUUUCAUACUGCAUUACUUCAUGCUCGAAAAAUGGAUGAAAUCAAAUCGAUAGCCUUCCUCGGUUAACCAUUGCAGAGACACCGCUCUUGUAAUUCAGGACAUGGUACUGCUGCACGAAGUGGAGGUGGAAUACCCGGACGGUCGACCCAUCGAAAAGCACCAAGCGAUGCUACUGGAGUUCGGAAAGUUUGAAAAUGGCCAAUCCACCACUGCCAUGUCCCUCACCGUUGGUGUAGCAGCAGAAAUAGGGGCUCUGGUAGUAACCUUAACCACAGUUAUACUUGCAUGAGGAUAAAAGCAGAAACCCCAUGUAUAUUCAUUUACUCUUGCCCCAUGCCAUGUUGCAGCUCUUGCUCCAGAACAAGGUGCAGACGAAAGGAGUGAUUAGGCCUCUGGAACCUGAAAUCUACAUUCCAGGUGAGUGCAACGUGGACCAUGGUUUUCAUGCCUGUCCUUUGUGGAAUCACCGUGACAUGCAACAGUGCUGACUCGUGUGUUUGCGUGUGUGAAGCAUUGGAAAUCUUGGACUCGUCAGGCAUAAAGCUGACUGAGAGAGUGGAGAUUUGAAAAUUCGUGUGUACUCCCUCCGUCCCUGUCGUUUUCGCUUCCUGAGAAACAACUUUGACUAAAUAUAUAUAAAAAAUAUUAAUAUUUAUGAUACAAAAUUAAUACAAUUAGAUAGAUAUUUGAAUCUAGUUUUUUAAUAAAUUUAUUUGAAGAUACAAAUGGUGCACGUAUUUUCUACAAAUCCAGUCAAACUUGCGGCACGGAAACCAAAAGCGACAGUUAUUUAGGGACGGAGGGAGUAAGCAUUGGAGAUCUUGGAGUCGUCAGCCACCAAGCUGACUGAGAGAAUGUAGAUUUGAAAAUUCGAAGUUAAUAGUACAUAGAUAUACUAUAUGAUAAUAGCUGGGUACAUAUAUUCUGUACAUACUAUGUUCUGUCCUAAGAAAGGGUAGGAACUCCCAACAGUUUGUCGUCGUCGUUGUACAUAGAAUCUCAUAAUGUAUAACUUUCAAAGCUCUAAAAACAACAGGUCUUGUGUGCAACGAUGAUAGUCGGAUUAGUUAUACACCAUGUACUUUAGUGUGGCACUAAAUUAUGAAUAGGUUCUCUAUACUUAAAGCUUCUUAGACUAUGAUGUUCGUCAGCUCACUGGUGAUUGGAAAGGCGUCUUUAGAAAUUGCUACGCAAAACGAUUGGGAGUAUAGGGCAACCCUGCUUGCUUAUUCAAAUUGAUGUACCUAAGGGUGUAAAAUGUGAAGAUAUAUGGAAGUCUUGAUUGUGGAGAAAAAUUGUCAAUCAAAAUAGCAUCUUAUUUAUGAGGUGGGGCCUGAUUCGACUCAUGUCGAGCCCUCUCCUUUGCACCAACGAACAGAUCCAAUCGUUUAAAAUCAGGUCCAAGUUCACAUCUCUUUUGCCCUCCCACUCAGAGCACAAUCGGCCAGCGCGACGGGGAUGGCGACACAGCCACCGACGGCUGGAGCUCCCUCAAUGCUGCCAGCAGGUAAUUGACUAGCCUAUUACUAUUUGGAUGUGAUGCACAUUGGUCACGAAUUUGUAAAUCUAUCAGUUCCUGCUUCCUGCAUCCAUUUGUGCAGUUCUUGCGGUGGAUGCAGUGCACUGAGUAUAGAAAUUAUUUUUUAUUACUUCUGUGAAACGUUUUGGCCUUGGCAAGUAUGUACAGAUUUAGUUGUUGUUUUUUUAGUCAGAGGUGAGCUACGUGUAUGGGAAAGAAACACUUGAUUGCUUGUUCUAGAUCUUGCCUUCAUAUAAACUGUGAUGCUAUCAACAUGGAGAUUUGAUGCAUUCUACUCUCUCUCUAUUUCACAUGGAAAAGAACUCGUGUUUACUCAAUAAUGCUUAUGAAUUUUCCUUAGAGUUGCAUUUAUUCAUCAUCCUAAAGUAUUCCGUGUCAAGUAAACUCAUACUUCUAAUUUUUCAAAAAACAAUCUGAAAUCAAUGAACCCCUCCUUCCUUGUGAAAUUGUUGUACCUUUUUCCUUAUGACAUCUUAUCUACUUCCACUUUCCUGGUGCAGAAUUUUUGAAAGUAGGAAACGUAAGCAAUGACAGUGAGAGUCGCAGCAAUACUGAGCUCAAUAGGUGAACUAGACAAACCAUUCUGCUGUAGUUCAUUUUAUCACUGCAGUCAUCGUCGGACAAUGAGGUCAGAACCAGCAGGUUCGCAGAGUGACUUGUGACUUGUGGAUAAUCCUGCAGAUUCAACAAUGGUAAAGUAACGAAUGGUUAAGGUAUAAGUAGAUUUACUCAAUUAUACUCCAAUAGCUAAUGCAUUGCAUAUAUUGCUUGGCCGUGUAUAUAAAUAUUACAUCACUGUUCAACAUAAGUAAAUAGCUUGGUCCUUCAUAAUAAAGCAGUCCAUUUUGGUAAAAGCUAUAGUGCAAUUAGUUUUCUUGAUUUUCUUAAAAUUUUACUCAAAGUCUGUUCCUUAUGUUGUACAUUUGCCUCGCGGGCUGGCUAACUGACCUACAUGAGGCUGGCUAACUGAUCUGGAGGUUCACUAUCUAUGUUCUUUCAUUUCAUUGUCAAACAGAGAUAUUCUAAAUCUGAAAGUCUGUUGAAAUUGCCUAUGGAGUCUUGUGGUACCUUUAGUGUUUCUUAUCAUGUCCAGUAGGAGGUCUUGGAAAACAUAUUUGCCAUACAUGAUUUUUUUUAAAUCGAAAGUAGUAAUAUGCUGUGUAAUUGCCUUCUUGCCUCCUGACGUGUGGCAAAUUCAUUGAGCGUUUCCACUUACAUCGCUGGCAUAUUCAGAAAACAACGCAAAGAUGAUGGUUUUGGGUGAGAGGUCCUUUGGUCAAGGUAAUUUCAGAGCAUUGAUUUUCAAUGUACUUGUAAAGCCAAGAGAAAGUUGAGCAGGGCACAUUCAGUUGUUAACUGGACUGUUGGCUUGCUGCUAUGGAAACAUGUUUUCAGCCUUAUUACUUGCCGAGUUUACAUUGGGAUCUGAAAACUGGACAGCGUGCCAUUAGUUUUGUCUGUCUCCAGGACAUUGCCCAUGCACAUGAACUGACUGAUUACCAUGAAAAUUCACCUGUUUCAGUUCCAAACUAAUUAUUGCUUCAAGGUCACAAAGCUAUAUGAAAAUCUGUAUCCAAUUGAAUGCCAGAACUCUCUAGGAUGAUGUCAGGCAUUCCCAUUUAUAGGUUAACCUGAAGUGAUUCUUGAAGAUUAGUUUCUGUGUGGUUGAUUUGAACUGUUUGUCAUAUUGUAUGCUUCAUCUUGAUUACUAUCAAUUUCACAGGUCAUGUUCAUUGUGAGGAAUGGAGCGCAAUGCCUUGUGGUAACUCUGGGCAGACGAAAAUAGGCCACCUCUCCCAUUUUCUUGAUAUUUAUUUUCUGAUAUCUGACUAUUGUAUUUGUCGUGAAAUUUAAAUUGUAGACACUAACAGAUCAUGUGUCACUUCAUGCUUUGACCAUGUGAAAAAAAUUCAGUGUAUUUACCCAUGAUCGGUGCCUUGCCCCGAGUGGUCUUUAAUUCCUGAAUUAGGCAACGGUGAUUUUUCUUCUUAAUAUAUAGAUGCGCAGCUCUCCCGCGUGUUCGAGAAAAAUGAGGCAACGGUGACACAGCGCUCGUAGAAAGUAGAAAGUGAAGAAGCGGUUUGAGCAUAUUGCUGUUGACAGCUACCUCCGCAAGAUUUGGCCAGUAUCGUGAGCUGAGUUUCACAACCCUGAACCACUUGGUAAAAAACAGUCUGAAUUUUGCGUUGUGAGUAACUAACUAGACAUCCGAAUAAAUUAGUGUACUGAUAUUCUGAAAUUUGUUUUAGCACUGGGACUCUCUGGACUAUCCGGUGGAAUCAGGCCUUGGCAGGACUGAGGCAGAUGUGGGGGGUGACACCGUGCAGGUGAGGUGGUGGCGGUACCUGGCUCUGGCAUCUCCCUUUAUCCGCUUGAUGGAAUGGCAGCAUGGGUAUGGAGACACCAUCAGCAUCUAAACAAGGCCCAAAAGGUACAAAGAUAUGAUUUAAUCACUUUUGAUUUGUUUAUUUGCUAUCAUAUAAAUUGCAGGUCUUGAGUAAUAUGUCAAUGCUAUAAUUUUGCUUGCUUGUUGUGUGUCCUCUCUAAAAUCUUUUCUUUACCAUAUAUAUCCAUACGCACAAGAUAUUUGCAGUUACAAGUAUAAUCCUCAAGGAGUGAAAAGCUUGGGAUUCUGUUCGUGCAGGCAACAGGCAUUGAUUGCUAAUCAGCAUGGCCUCCACAAGUACCCAUCAUAGGAAGUGCAGCAACCAAUAUUGUGUUCAAACCUGAAGAAAAUAUAUGGGGAUGGCUGGGUGGCUGCACAGCUCAUGGCAGGGACCAAUUUGGAGUCUGCAUCUUCUUUCCCACAUAUAUAUGAUAUUUCCAUAUACUGUCAGGAUGCUAUUAAACUGCCUUCACCAGAUUACUAUAAACUGUGAACUUCGGAACUUUAAUUUUCGAUAAGUUGGAGUCGACGCUUAAAACUUCAGAGCUUUAUUUACUCCUAAGUACCAACAGCUCUAAAUUUUUGUGCACUGCACCCUUAGUUUUUAGUGAACAAUACUGACUGCUGAGGUUAUAAUGCAUCUUUCUAUGUGGGACUAAAGUUUUGUCAAGUAAGGCUAUGUACACAUUGAUAAAUCUGCUUCAGAAUAAUAUCGCUGAUACAUUGCAAUCUCACUAUCUGAACAAAAUCAGGUUUAUCAGUUAUUUAUAGUAGACUUGCUUGUUAGAAAGGACCUAAAUAGGUUUUCUUUGUCUAUGUGAAUUUUCGGGGAAUUCUGCUUAUCUUCCAUGGAUAGAUGCUACUUCUCCUGUAAUAUCGAAUUGGGUCAUGUGUGUGUCAGCUCUUUGCUAGCCAAAGGAGCUUGUGACUUGCAACUACUACUGCUUAUUCAAUGAUCUCUAAUAACUGAAUCAUUUUGUUCAGAUUCUAAUUACCAGGUCUUUUCUCAUCUCUUUAUGUUUUGAGGUGUUGGAUGAAAUAGGGUUAAUGGUGUUUGCUACCAUUCUACAAGAAAAUAGGGUUAAAAUAUUCUUGUAUUCCUCAGAUUAUUUGUGUCAUGCAAACUCCACUUUAGAAAAUUCCAUUCUAAAUGGUUGUGUGAGAUUAUGUACCAUUCUAAUAUGAUCUCAUGAGGGGAAUUAUUUAGCCUGUAGCAACGCACGGGCACGAUCCUAAUGGAAUUGAAAAGAAUAGAGAUCGCGAUGAACCACGAGAAUAUCUAGUGUUGGAACGCAAAGCGGAGGGCAAGUACCCAUACAAAAUCUAAUAACUCUGCAACAGCCAUCACUAGCAAGUUGUCAUACACUCAUUAUGGUCUUGGCCACGAGACAUGAGCAAGAGAUGCACAUCAUGAUCUAGGAAGCAGCAGCGCGCGGGUAUGGUCGCAUGGAACAGCCUCUUUGCCCGCGCCGGCCACCCCUUCCACUGCUGCUCAAAAGGUGCUCGACAAAAUGCCACUCCAGGACACUGCCCGCGCCGGCGCGCCUGGGCAGGAAAGAAAACAGGAAAAACUCUGAAAAGGGAGUAGUAAUGCACAGAAACUCACAUUGCUAUUCGAGUUGCCAUGAAACGUUGGGAUGGGUGUAAGUAACGGAUCAUAGAGACUGUCCAUUGUCAACUUGUCAUUAUUAAACAAAACUACUAUUAUUUUCCCUCCUGGCCUCGAGAUGCUAAUGGAUGGCCCAAAACUAAUGCAAGAUGCACAUGCUCUCACAUGGUUGAAGACACGCAGAUCAAGAUGCACAGAUCGAACACAUCUGGACGAACGUGGUUCUAUAUUGCUGUAGUGUAUGCAACCAAUUAAACACAUCCACUUGGCUCCUCCAAAGUCAACGCUCGAAGUCUCCAUUUUCCACAAAAGCAGCAGCUCAAACCAAGCGUCCAGCUUCUCUCUCUCCACCCAGCAACACUGUGUUUCCUGUGUCCUGUCACCUGUGCGUGUGUUUUUGGAUCUCCAGGCGUUGCCAUGGCUGAGGUACUGGCCACCAUGGUGGUCGGGCCACUGCUGUCCAUGGUGAAGGAAAAGGCCUCCAGCUACCUCCUGGACCAGUACAAGGUGAUGGAGGGGAUGGAGGAGCAGCACAAGCUCCUGAAGCGCAAGCUGCCGGCCGUCCUGGACGUCAUCGCCGACGCCGAGGAGCAGGCGGCAAAACACAG